GGUUGGUCUGAGUGCAGUGGUGUUCACAACUAACUGAUCACAACCAGUUACAGAUUCCUUUGUUCUUUCCCCACUCCCUCUGCUUCACUUGACCAGCUAGA
rnacentral:Y_RNA from 1 species